GCCAUGAUGAUGUCAUCGGAAAAGAGAAAGGCGGGACCGUUGUCGGAAAGGACAGUCAAUGACCGCGCUGGCUUGAAUGCAAACGCGGAGAAGGAGAAAUGAGCACCGAACCAACGCCAUGACCAUUCUUCUCAGUCGGCUGGCGGAUGGAUGGUCGAGAAGAUGCAUUAGUAUUGAUCAGCGCGUUGCUUUUAGUACGGAUGACAAUCGAAACAAGUUUCUCUCGGUCUGCCCGACGCACAGAAACCAGUUUGAGUGCAAAUAAUAUCGUAUUACGGCCAACAGCACCGAGACAAAGUGCCUGUAGCGCACGUCCCGAGGCUAGCUUGAAUUGUAAAGGAGGUCACGUCUGGUUGCCAUUACAAGGGGGCUGAUCUCCCUUCCUCAGCGGGAUUCUCCACGCUUCGUGCGGAGAAUGCUCUGCGAGGGAGAGAACACACAUGGUUUCCAAACAGCCCGAGAGAAGAGCAGAACAGAACGGGAUUAGAAAGCUACUCAGUUUGAGACAUUCCAGACUAUUCGUGGACAACAUCCUUACGCUCGGAUUACGCCUACAGGUCACUUCUAUUACAAACAGAGUCCUAAAUGAAACCUCGUGUCAAAAAAGACAAUGAAGAUCAGUGGGCCCGCUCGCCUCCAUAAAGUCAACGAUGUGAAUGACUUCUACGAGCUGCCAAGCAAAACCACCGGUGACCUAAACGUCCUAAAUCCAUUUACGCUUUUCACUCCGUUGCUUCCAGAUGCUUUGAGGGCAGGCAUGCACAUCCUCUGGUUUCCCCACAAACUUGGCGCUCAGCAUCACGACGAUGCUCUCUCUCAAAUAUUAGACUGAUUGCAGGCAAGAGAUCUGAUGGGGGGGGGGGGAUGUUUUUUCCCCUCUGUUGCAGCACAGGCCAUUUAAUUACGGCAAUGGGAUGAUGAGGAAUAAAUCCUCCUCCCAUAUGGACAUGUGACACAUCACCCGCUUCCACCAUGCCUUUGCUGUUCUACUCUGACGUAGCAUUAUAAGCCUAAAGCCAGACACCUAAAAGGAUUUUUAUUGCGGUGUGACCAUGUGAGGACAUUUUGGAAAAAACUCAAAUGAAUCACCUCUGACACAGCUGAUAGAAUGUUAUUCCCCCCCCCCCCCCCCCCUCUGGUUUCUUGACUUAAUGGCAGCCACAAAAACAUCUCUCAGCUGUGUGACGGUACAACGACCAGAGCGGCAUUUCCUGUCACAUGCAUCGUUGGCUUGAAUGACUGACCUUAGAUAUUAUUGUGGAGGGGAGGGAGAAAGGGGGUGGUUGGAAUGAGCAGCAGCCCUGCAGUAAGAAAAAAGUACCGUAAUUUUCGGACUAUAAGUCGCACCGGAGUAUAAGUCGCACCAGCCAUAAAAUGCCCAAAAAAGUGAAAAGAAAACGUAUAUAUGUAUAUAAGUCGCUCCUGAGUAUAAGUCGACCCCCCCACCCAAACUAUGAAAAAAAACGCGACUUAUAGUUCGAAAAUUACGGUAACUACUUUAAUAGAGUGCUAAAGGAUGAUGCUCACACGGGAGACAAUCAAAUAUAGCCGCCCUCCAGACUCCCGUUACGCUAACAGAGAGGCAAGUCCGACAGAAAAUGGAUGGAUAGUUUUGUGGUUUAUUGUCGACAUGUAAAGUGUGUUUUGGGU